UACGUAGGGUGCAGGCGUUAAUCGGAAUUACUGGGCGUAAAGCGUGCGCAGGCGGUUUCUUAAGUCAGAUGUGAAAGCCCCGGGCUUAACCUGGGAACUGCGUUUGAAACUGGGAGACUUGAGUGUGGCAGAGGGGGGUGGAAUUCCGGCGUGUAGCAGUGAAAUGCGUAGAGAUGCGGAGGAACACCGAUGGCGAAGGCAACCCCCCUGGGCUGACACUGACGCUCAGGCACGAAAGCGUGGGGAGCAAACAGG
rnacentral:rRNA from 1 species